GUGUGUGUAUAUAAUGCAGUGUGUUUGUGUAGUGUGCAUUAUAUAAACACACUACACAAACACACUGCAUUAUAUACACACAC